AUCCUGGCUCAGAUUGAACGCUGGCGGCAGGCCUAACACAUGCAAGUCGAGCGGCAGCGGGAAAGUAGCUUGCUACUUUUGCCGGCGAGCGGCGGACGGGUGAGUAAUGCCUGGGGAUCUGCCCAGUCGAGGGGGAUAACUACUGGAAACGGUAGCUAAUACCGCAUACGCCCUACGGGGGAAAGCAGGGGACCUUCGGGCCUUGCGCGAUUGGAUGAACCCAGGUGGGAUUAGCUAGUUGGUGAGGUAAUGGCUCACCAAGGCGACGAUCCCUAGCUGGUCUGAGAGGAUGAUCAGCCACACUGGAACUGAGACACGGUCCAGACUCCUACGGGAGGCAGCAGUGGGGAAUAUUGCACAAUGGGGGAAACCCUGAUGCAGCCAUGCCGCGUGUGUGAAGAAGGCCUUCGGGUUGUAAAGCACUUUCAGCGAGGAGGA
rnacentral:rRNA from 1 species